rnacentral:rRNA from 1 species
AGUGAACGCUGGCGGUAGGCCUAACACAUGCAAGUCGAACGGCAGCACAGUAAGAGCUUGCUCUUACGGGUGGCGAGUGGCGGACGGGUGAGGAAUACAUCGGAAUCUACUUUUUCGUGGGGGAUAACGUAGGGAAACUUACGCUAAUACCGCAUACGACCUACGGGUGAAAGCAGGGGAUCUUCGGACCUUGCGCGAUUGAAUGAGCCGAUGUCGGAUUAGCUAGUUGGCGGGGUAAAGGCCCACCAAGGCGACGAUCCGUAGCUGGUCUGAGAGGAUGAUCAGCCACCCUGGAAGUGAGACACGGUCCAGACGCCUACGGGAGGAAGCAGUGGGGAAUAUUGGACAAUGGGGGCAAGCCUGAUCCAGCCAUACCGCGUGGGUGAAGAAGGCCUUCGGGUUGUAAAGCCCUUUUGUUGGGAAAGAAAAGCAGCAGGUUAAUACCCCGCUGUUCUGACGGUACCCAAAGAAUAAGCACCGGCUAACUUCGUG